CUGAGAGGAUGACCAGCCACACUGGAACUGAGACACGGUCCAGACUCCUACGGGAGGCAGCAGUGGGGAAUAUUGCACAAUGGGCGCAAGCCUGAUGCAGCCAUGCCGCGUGUAUGAAGAAGGCCUUCGGGUUGUAAAGUACUUUCAGCGGGGAGGAAGGGAGUAAAGUUAAUACCUUUGCUCAUUGACGUUACCCGCAGAAGAAGCACCGGCUAACUCCGUGCCAGCAGCCGCGGUAAUACGGAGGGUGCAAGCGUUAAUCGGAAUUACUGGGCGUAAAGCGCACGCAGGCGGUUUGUUAAGUCAGAUGUGAA
rnacentral:rRNA from 1 species